rnacentral:rRNA from 1 species
CGUGUAGGCGGCUCGGCCAGUCUGACGUGAAAUCUCCACUGCUCACCAGGGAGAGGCCGUUGGAAACUGCCGGGCUUGAGGGCCGGAGAGGCAAGCGGAAUUCCCGGUGUAGCGGUGGAAUGCGUAGAUAUCGGGAAGAACACCAGUGGCGAAGGCGGCUUGCUGGACGGUGCCUGACGCUGAGGCGCGAAAGUGUGGGGAGCGAACA